ACAUUCAGAAGAGGUGCGAUAUUUAGGUACUUAAUGUGAAGCGACGUUUGCUUUUGAUCAUUAAGGAGGGAAAUACUCGCCGAGAAGAACAACUGACGUCACAGUGGUUUUUCGGUUUAUGGGGCUGAAUCCUCAAAACUGUCACCAAUUUAGGUGGAGAGCUUCUGGCAGU
rnacentral:ncRNA from 2 species